rnacentral:rRNA from 1 species
CAUUCAUGGAGAGUUUGAUCCUGGCUCAGGACGAACGCUGGCGGCGUGCUUAACACAUGCAAGUCGAACGAUGAAGCCCUUCGGGGUGGAUUAGUGGCGAACGGGUGAGUAACACGUGGGCAAUCUG